UACGAAGGGGGCUAGCGUUGCUCGGAAUUACUGGGCGUAAAGCGCGCGCAGGCGGCUUGGCGCGCCCGACGUGAAAGCCCCCGGCUUAACCGGGGAGAGUCGUCGGGGACGGCCGGGCUUGAGGGCGGGAGAGGGUGGUGGAAUUCCCGGUGUAGUGGUGAAAUGCGUAGAGAUCGGGAGGAACACCUGUGGCGAAGGCGGCCACCUGGGCCGACCCUGACGCUGAGGCGCGAAGGCGUGGGGAGCGAACGGG
rnacentral:rRNA from 1 species